GCACUGCUGAGGAGUCCCACAAUAGGACGAAACAGUCGUCCACUGC
rfam:Schistosoma mattheei strain Denwood, Zambia genome assembly, scaffold: SMTD_scaffold0017449